GGAUGUGAGGGCGAUCUGGCUGUGACAUCUGUCACCCCAUUGAUCGCCAGUGUUGAUUCAGCUGAUCUGGCUGGCUAGGCGGGUGCCCCCUUCCUCCCUCAAUGGUCCACGUGCAUCCCUCCCGAAGCUGUGUGCUCGGUUGAAGAGGAUGACCUUCCCCAAUAGAGGAGGACCAGUCUUCGGUCAAGGGUAUACGAAUAGCUGCACUCCCCUGCUAGAACCUCCAAACAAGCUCUCAAGAAAUUAUGUAGGAGUCACGUGGGUUGGCACACUCCUUUAAUCCCAACACUCUGGAGGCAGAGGUAGGCAGGUCUCUGUGAG
rnacentral:snRNA from 1 species